UCGUGAAAUUUGCUGUGAACCUGGCGGGACCACCCGCUAAGCCUGAAUACUCCCUGGUGACCGAUAGCGGACAAGUACCGUGAGGGAAAGGUGAAAAGUACCCCGGGAGGGGAGUGAAAUAGUACCUGAAACCGUGUGCCUACAAUCCGUCGGAGCUUCGCCUUGUGCGGGGUGACGGCGUGCCUUUUGAAGAAUGAGCCUGCGAGUUAGUGGUAUGUGGCGAGGUUAACCCGUGUGGGGAAGCCGUAGCGAAAGCGAGUCCGAAUAGGGCGAUUCAGUAGCGCGCUCAAGACCCGAAGCGAAGUGAUCUAUCCAUGGGCAGGUUGAAGCGUCGGUAAGACGACGUGGAGGACCGAACCCACUUAGGUUGAAAACUGAGGGGAUGAGCUGUGGAUAGGGGUGAAAGGCCAAUCAAACUCCGUGAUAGCUGGUUCUCCCCGAAAUGCAUUUAGGUGCAGCGUUGCGUGUUUCUUGCCGGAGGUAGAGCACUGGAUAGCUAAUGGGCCCUACAAGGUUACUGACGUUAGCCAAACUCCGAAUGCCGGUAAGUGAGAGCGCAGCAGUGAGACUGUGGGGGAUAAGCUUCAUAGUCGA
rnacentral:rRNA from 14 species